rnacentral:lncRNA from 1 species
GCUAACAGACCACAUAUUUUUAUUCAUUCUUGUCCCUUCACCCUUCACCUUCUCAAUCAAGUUAAGAAAUAUAACUUAUCUUCUUCUUUAUUUGAACUGUUUGAAACAAAGGAUUGAUUCAGGGCUUGGGAGCAAUGAGGGGAAAAUGAGAGAUUACUUUCUAAGAGUCUGUGAAAUAGAGUCACUUCUAUGGUUUUUUGUGUGUAGAAUUUGCUAAUUAAUCCAGUGAAGGUCAAGUGAAAUUUGUAGAUGGUGUUCCAUGUCUACUAAUUGGGCAAACUGUAUUUCUUUUCAUGGACUGAGGAAAGGCUUCUGAGGAAACCUUAGCAGGUAAGGGGCUUGAUCAGAAAUAACUAAUGUUCUCAUGGAUGGAGAAUAUAUCAUCAUUUCACCUGUGUCCAUGACUUGGCAGAGACUACUUGGAAAGUAGACAUGGGAGAAGGUUGGGAGAGUGGGCAGUUGGGGUAAAGAAGCAGCUGGAAAUACUUAGACUCCAUAAUGAGAUAAUUAAGACUAAUUAGCUGGCCCUGUAGGCAGAAAGCAGCCCAUUAAGUCCAGAUACAGUUUUAAUAAUGUACCUGGUUUUGAGGGUAGAGUCCAGAGCACCCCAGGGAAUAGAACGCUCAGGGUGAAAUGUCUAGGUUAGGGUUCUUACCAAAGGAACAGCAACUCUGCCCUGGAUGAGCUAUUUUUCUUCUAGAAACGAAAGCAAGCUUUGUGGUUUUCUAGAACUUCAGGAAACCUCAGUUUUCUCAUCUAUUAAAUGAAGAUACUUACAGGAUUGCCAUGUGAAUUGAAUACCUAACAUCGAGUACUUAGUAACUAUUAACUAAGAUACAUUUAUUGAAAGUCAGAAGCAAACUACUAGUUGGACCUCAGACUGAGGCAAGUUCAGCACUCUUACUACAUCCACUUUCCCACUGAUGACACUUCUGAAGGUUCUAAAAUAACCUGUCUAGCCCAAAGUCACAGCUCAUUUUAAAAGUGACCAGAACUCGUAAAUCAUUGUACAAGGAUAAUGGAUUUGUUUCAGGGACCAGCCAAGCACAUUCCUUGAGCCUUCUGCUAAACAGAGCUUGUGGAAGUGGCGUCUUCCGGUAGUGCUGCGCACAGCAGGGCCGUGGGUGUAGACAUGGUGGCAUCACCCACAGCUCCCUGCCUUUAGUUGACUGUUUCCUUCAUGCUCAUUCAUGCUCUUGUGUCUCCUUGCGCUGUUCUUUUAUUAGUUGCCCCUAGUUUGGACCAGAACUUAUAGGCAAGUCUUUACUUGCUGUGUUAAAUUCUUAUUACUUAGGUAACAAAUUGCCACAACUUAAUAACUUAAACAAUAGAGAUAUUAUUGCAUAGUUCUAGAUAUCAGAUAUAUAAAUUGGAUCUCAGUGAGUAGAACUAAGGUAUUGGCAGGGCUGUGGUCUAAGCAGUCUGUCCUGCUUCAUGGCUUUGGGAGUUCCUUUUGAGCCAGUCUCAUGCUGCUGUCCUUAGGGUUUGCUCCUGCCUUCAAGGACUCUUAGGACCCAAGUGCACUCCUUCGAACGGCAUAAAAUAACUUUCUUUCUUUCUCUCUCUCUCCCUCUCUUCUCCUCCUCCUCCCUCCUUUCUUCUGCCGCCGCCUCCUCCUUCUCCUCCUCCUCUUCCUCUUCCUCCUGCUCUUAUUUUUUUUGGUAGCGGGUAGGAAUCUCAUAUUAAGAACUUGUUUACCAAGCUGGACUGGAACUCAACAGGCUUCUAGGACUUUACUCUAUAACCUCAAAUACUCACAUAUUCCCAUGUUAGAAUGGUAUCCAGCUUGCUGACAUAUGCAAUAGAUUCUUACCAGCUGUCAGCUACCAUCGUCUAAAGUUACUGUAAUUACUUGUCUCUCCUUGCUCACUUUACCAAGUCCGCAGUGGUCCAGCCCUGUGUGCAUUCCAAUCUGAGGAAAUCAGAAAACUCGCUCUGUGUGUGUGUGUGUGUGUGUGUGUGUGUGUGUGUGUGUGUUUAGAGGAGAGGAGGGCAAACUCAGAUUUCUGUUCUGGUAGUGGUUUUGUUUGCUUUUUAGGCUCUGGUGCCAUAUAAUUGAUCCCUUUAAAUGUCAACCCAAAGGUAUUUAUCCCCUUUAGAAUACUUGCAGGGUUGUAUAACCAGCACCAUUGUAUCUCCAGAGAUUUUCUUCUCCCCCCACCUCUUCUCCUGGCAACCACUUAACUGCUUUCUGUUUGGAUUUGUCCUAGAGGGGACAUUGAAUAUAAGUGGAAUUAUGGCCUUUGUCUUUAACUUGAUACGUUAUUUUUGAGGCUUAUCCACGCUUUAGCAUAUAUCGAUAGCUUUUCCCCUUUUGAUAGCUAAAUGUUCCUAUGUAUACACACAUAUAUGUAGCUCAUCUAUUCCUCCACUUAAAUGAGCAGUUGGGUUGUGAAAUGUUUCUACCUUUUUGCUAUUAUGAAAUGGUGCUGCUAUAAACACUUACAUACAGACUUUAGUUUUAGUUAGUUAAGUGAGGGUCUUCCUCUGUGACUUAGACAAUUAUGGACCUGGAGGUCCUCCUGCCUCUGUUGCUUGAGUGCUUGGUUUAUAGUGUGAAUCCCAGUGCCCCGUGGCUCUCAAGGUUUUGUGUGGUAAAAUUCAUACAGUUGUCUUGGAGUCAUAUGGCAAUUCUGCUGCUUAUGAGCACCUGCCCAACUCUUCCACCAGGGUUCAUUCCCCAUGCUGCGCUGGUUGUACCAGUUUACACCCCUGGGCAUCAGUUCUUGCUUCUGGGAACAGGAGUCAACAAUUUUAAACUCGCCACCACUCAGAGUGUGGGGUGGGGGGGUUGGUAUGGUUUGGUUUGGUUUGAUUUGGUGCUAGGCUUAUUAUUGUUGUUGUUUUCAGUUUUUUGUUGUUGUUUAGUGUGAGGUUGGUUGGGUUAGGUGGCUUUUGUUUGGUUGUUUGGAUAUUAGAGCCAGGUUUCAUAGAAUGCAGUCCAGCUUCAAACUCAGUCUGGAGCUAAGAAUGUCCUUAGUCCUCCUCUAUUGAGGAGUUUGAAACUGUAGACAGAAAUAUAUGUAUUGAGGAUUUGAAACUGUAUACACAAAUAUAUGAAAUGUAGGAAAAAUCAAAUAUCUGACAGCCAAUGUAUUAAGAAGUUCCCUAUACUAAAAGUGCUUUCUGAGAAUGAAAAAAAAUUGGUAGCAUACAAAAAUAAUAACUUUUCUGUUUAUCCAUAUCCUUGGAAACUCAGUAAAGGUGAUUAGUUUGGGAAUUUCCUAAAAGCC